GAUGAACGCUGGCGGCGUGCCUAAUACAUGCAAGUCGAGCGAACGGACGAGAAGCUUGCUUCUCUGAUGUUAGCGGCGGACGGGUGAGUAACACGUGGAUAACCUACCUAUAAGACUGGGAUAACUUCGGGAAACCGUAGCUAAUACCGGAUAAUAUUUUGAACCGCAUGGUUCAAAAGUGAAAGACGGUCUUGCUGUCACUUAUAGAUGGAUCCGCGCUGCAUUAGCUAGUUGGUAAGGUAACGGCUUACCAAGGCAACGAUGCAUAGCCGACCUGAGAGGGUGAUCGGCCACACUGGAACUGGGACACGGUCCAGACUCCUACGGGAGGCAGCAGUAGGGAGUCUUCCGCAAUGGGCGAAAGCCUGACGGAGCAACGCCGCGUGAGUGAUGAAGGUCUUCGGAUCGUAAAACUCUGUUAUUAGGGAAGAACAUAUGUGUAAGUAACUGUGCACAUCUUGACGGUACCUAAUCAGAAAGCCACGGCUAACUACGUG
rnacentral:rRNA from 1 species